rnacentral:rRNA from 1 species
AUACGUAGGGGGCAAGCGUUAUCCGGAUUUACUGGGUGUAAAGGGAGCGUAGACGGCAUGGCAAGUCUGAAGUGAAAGCCCGAGGCUCAACCACGGGACUGCUUUGGAAACUGUUAAGCUAGAGUGCAGGAGAGGUAAGUGGAAUUCCUAGUGUAGCGGUGAAAUGCGUAGAUAUUAGGAGGAACACCGGUGGCGAAGGCGGCUUACUGGACUGUAACUGACGUUGAGGCUCGAAAGCGGGGGGAGCAAACAGGAUUAGAUACCCUGGUAGUCCACGCUGUAAACGAUGAUUACUAGGUGUUGGGGGCCUAUAGGUCUUCGGUGCCGCAGCAAACGCAAUAAGUAAUCCGCCUGGGGAGUACGUUCGCAAGAAUGAAACUCAAAUGAAUUGACGGGG